rnacentral:rRNA from 1 species
GUGGGGAAUAUUGCGCAAUAGGGGAAACCCUGACGCAGCGACGCCGCGUGGGUGAUGAAGGCCUUCGGGUCGUAAAGCCCUGUGGGAGAGGGAAGAAACACUGGCGGGAACAAUACCCCGCUGGCCUGACGGUACCUCUCCAGAAAGCACCGGCUAACUCCGUGCCAGCAGCCGCGGUAAGACGGAGGGUGCUAACGUUGCUCGGAAUUACUGGGCGUAAAGCGCGUGUAGGCGGGACGGCAAGCGAGAUGUGAAAUCCCUCGGCUCAACUGAGGAAGUGCAUUUCGAACUGCCGACCUUGAGUGCGGGAGAGGGAGGUAGAAUUCCCGGUGUAGAGGUGAAAUUCGUAGAUAUCGGGAGGAAUACCGGUGGCGAAGGCGGCCUCCUGGACCGACACUGACGCUGAGACGCGAAAGCGUGGGGAGCAAACAGGAUUAGAUACCCCUGUAGUCC